AUACGGAGGAUGCAAGCGUUAUCCGGAUUUAUUGGGUUUAAAGGGUGCGUAGGCGGUUUGCUAAGCGGGGGGUGAAAUGCCGGCGCUCAACGUCGGAAGUGCCUCCCGAACUGGGGGACUUGAAUGACUCUGCCGUGGGAGGAAUGUGUAGUGUAGCGGUGAAAUGCUUAGAGAUUACACAGAACACCGAUUGCGAAGGCAUCUCACGAAGGGUUGAUUGACGCUGAGGCACGAAAGCGUGGGGAUCAAACAGGAUUAGAUACCCUGGUAGUCCACGCAGUAAACGAUGAUGGCUAACCGCUGGGCUUAUCAGUUCAGUGGCCAAGCGAAAGCGAUAAGCCAUCCACCUGGGGAGUACGACCGCAAGGUUGAAACUCAAAUGAAUUGGCGGGG
rnacentral:rRNA from 1 species